ACGAGGGUGACAGGUGGUGGCAUGGUUGUCGCCAGCUCGUGUCGUGAGAUGUUGGGUUAAGUCCCGCAACGAGCGCAACCCUCGACCUUAGUUGCCAGCAUUCAGUUGGGCACUCUAAGGUGACUGCCGGCUAAAAGUCGGAGGAAGGUGGGGAUGACGUCAAAUCAUCAUGCCCCUUAUGACCUGGGCUACACACGUGCCACAAUGGGCGGUACAAAGGGUCGCGAACCCGCGAGGGGGAGCCAAUCCCAAAAAGCCGCUCUCAGUUCGGAUUGCAGGCUGCAACUCGCCUGCAUGAAGCCGGAAUCGCUAGUAAUCGCGGAUCAGCAUGCCGCGGUGAAUACGUUCCCGGGCCUU
rnacentral:rRNA from 1 species